AAAGUCGUAACAAGGUCUCCGUUGGUGAACCAGCGGAGGGAUCAUUACAGAGUUUACAACUCCCAAACCCAAAUGUGAACAUACCUACUGUUGCUUCGGCGUGCUCGCCCCGGCGUCCGGCUGGCCUCGUGCUGGUCGCGGCCCGGAACCAGGUGGCCGCCGGAGAAAACCAAAACUCUUUGUAUUAUCAGCUUCUUCUGAAUCCGCCGCAAGGCAAAACAAAUGAAUCAAAACUUUCAACAACGGAUCUCUUGGUUCUG
rnacentral:misc_RNA from 1 species